ACGUAGGGUGCGAGCGUUAAUCGGAAUUACUGGGCGUAAAGCGUGUGCAGGUGGUUCGUUAAGACAGAUGUGAAAUCCCCGGGCUUAACCUGGGAAUGGCGCUUGUGACUGGCGUGCUGGAGUACGGCAGAGGGGGGUGGAAUUCCGGGUGUAGUGGUGAAAUGCGUAGAGAUCCGGAGGAACCCCGGUGGCGAAGGCGACUUGCUGGGC
rnacentral:rRNA from 1 species